AGCCUGCCCAGUGACAAAGUUAAACGGCCGCGGUACCCUAACCGUGCGAAGGUAGCGCAAUCACUUGUUCUUUAAAUGAGGACUAGUAUGAAUGGCAUCACGAGGGUUACACUGUCUCCCCCAUCUAAUCAGUGAAACUGAUCUCCCCGUGAAGAAGCGGGGAUAAAACUAUAAGACGAGAAGACCCCAUGGAGCUUUAAACUCAGUACCAACUGCCCUAUAAUACAUCAUAGUAAAUUAGCAGGUGUGGCCACUAGUUUUCGGUUGGGGUGACCGCGGAGCAAAACAAAACCUCCACGAUGAAUGGGCCUCAUACCCUUAUCUAAGAGCUACUGCUCUAAGAAUCAAAAAAUUGACAAAAAUUGAUCCAAGUUACUCUUGAUCAACGAACCAAGUUACCCUGGGGAUAACAGCGCAAUCCAUUUCAAGAGCCCCUAUCGACAAAUGGGUUUACGACCUCGAUGUUGGAUCAGGGUAUCCCAGUGGUGCAGCCGCUACUAAAGG
rnacentral:rRNA from 1 species